rnacentral:rRNA from 1 species
CCUUGUACACACCGCCCGUCACACCAUGGGAGUUGGAGAUACCGGAAAACGCCUUUGUAACCCGCAAGGGAGCUAAGCGUUUAUGGUAUGGCCGAUGACUGGGGUG